UGGCGCCUGCGGCGGACCCGGCACGCGCAAACAGAUGACUUCGCAGGCAGUCUGUGUGUGUACGGUCUUGUACAUCCCGGAAUUACCGGGAUUUAACGUUUUCU
rnacentral:ncRNA from 12 species